rnacentral:tRNA from 1 species
UGAGGAUAUAGCUCAGUUGGUAGAGUGGUUGCCUAGUAUACACAAGGUCCUGGGUUCAAUUCCCAGCACAA